GCAGGCCACCUUUUGCAGGCCCAGCCCAGGUUUGGAACAAGGCUUCCUCUGCAAAAGCUGGAUGCUGUGAGCUCUGUCAGCUGCAUCGCUCUACCCCACACCUGCCUGGGUCUCCGGAGUGCAUACUCUAUUUGGGAGCAAUGCCUGCCUUGAACUCUAACAGUAUUUUGUCAGCAUCUUUCCCCAAAGACUAAACUCUACAGCCUAUAUCAGGUGUCAGCCACCAGAGAAAGCCAAGAAAUGGAGAAAUCGAGAAACUUGGCAACACACCCACUAAAGUCCAAGCUUUUAUAACAGCACAAUACAGAAACAAAAAGGAUAGCUUUGGGGAAUGUCAACCUCUCCAAGGGCCGGUUGGAAAGAAUGAGAGUCCUGCAAAUGCAACCUGAGAAAAUGUGUUCCUCGCACGGAAAUGGAAGAGCUGUGUUGAGACACCAGGGACACACGCAGGGCAUCUGCGCGAGGUGACAUUAGGUUGCCCUUAAUGAGUUUUCUGCUUCUGACAACGGGGUGUCACUUUUUUUCUUCUUUUCUUUUAACUGCAAAAGGAUCCUGGGGUGAAAAUGAGUGAAUAAUCGCCCCCACACUCCUAGAUUCCUUCCGGCAGAAGAGGGCGGACGCAGGCUGGGGAGGCGGGAUCGGGACCAGGAGGCCCAGAAACGGGUGGCUGAGGUCAAGGCCCAGGACCUGGACGCCCACUCCCAGUGCCGGGUGCCCGGGAGAGGAAGACUGGGCGGACCCCCGCGCUCCCACAGGAGGGGGACUUAGGUCAAUGCAGGAAACAUCGCAUGUCAGCUCCUUCCACUCGGAGAGCCCGGGUGUCUUCCUGAGAGCUGGCAGGAAAGCGGCCGAGGCGCAGAGGCUCCCGGAGGCAGCCGCCCCGGCCGUGUCCCCACCGGGCUGCGGGAGCUGCGGGGCGGCCCUUACCUGGUUCCUGCGGUACCAGGCGCCCGAGAGGGAGCCGUUGCCGACGCCUGGCGCCCCGUACGUGAAAUUCAGUG